rnacentral:rRNA from 1 species
AACGAACGCUGGCGGCAUGCCUAACACAUGCAAGUCGAACGAGACCGUCGGGUCUAGUGGCGCAGGGGUGGGUAACGACGGGGAACUUGCCCUUAGGUUCGGUAUAACUCCCCGAAAGGGGUGCUAAUAAAGGUUAAUGUCAUCGCAGCAAAGACCUACCGCUGUUGGGUGGGGGCGCGUUGGAUUAGCCAGUUGGUAGGGUAAAAGCCUACCAACGGGACGAUGCAUAGCUGGUCUGAUAGGAUGAUCAGGCACACUGGGACUGAGACACGGCCCAGACUCCUACGGGAGGCUGCAGUGGGGAAUAUUGGACAAUGGGCGCAAGCCUGGUCCAGCAAUGCGGCGUGUGUCAGGAAGGCCUUAGGGUUGUAAAGCUCUUUUUCCCGGGAUGAUAAUGACAGUACCGGGAGAAUAAGCUCCGGCUAACUCCGUG